AGCAAAUAGUCGGGGGGCCUGACCAUCAUCGAUGGCAUGGCUGAGAUCGCACUGCGAGACCCGUUGAACCUGAUUCAGUUAACACUGACGUAGGGAACUAUUCGCGUGACACU
rnacentral:ncRNA from 1 species